rnacentral:lncRNA from 1 species
AGCAUCCUAUUGAGUGAGGUUGUAAGCUCUGCUCUAGAUAGGAAGUCUGGUCUGAUUCUGAUUUCGCGGGCACUCUCUCGCGUAGUGUUAGGCACUUCCACAUAUGUGGCAGGUAUUGUUGAGAUGAUAGUAAGGUCGGUCCCCAUGAUCCUUGCCACAGUUCUGGCAAAUUCUACCGCGUCAUGUUGUCAGAGUCUUAGAAGGAGGCUAAAUCGUUGGCCUAAGCCUCUUAUUCUACCGAACUGACGCAAUGGGUGCUGGCUUGCGGUGUGAAUUGAGGGUCUAGAAUUUUUCACUACUAGAGAGAAGAUAUGAAGGUUCCACUCUACUAGCUAUGCCUUGACCAGAAUGGCUAAGCAGAUACUAAACUUAAAUACAUACAUUGUCUGCCUAAUCUCAGGAGGAAGGCCCCACUCGAACUUUCUUGUUUUCCUGCCUUCAUCCAUCAUACUCUCAGGGGAAUACCGGCUUAACUCUAGAAACUAUUGGGCAUACUCUAACACUAUCAUAUCACCCUGUACUAAGUGUGCAAAUUCUAUUUCCUUCAUAUGCUGAAGGUACUCUGCAUUAAAGUCCAUUAGAAACUGUUCCCAAGUGACUAGAACGGGCAAGGUGGCAUGUUGGAGCUACCACCAGUGAUCUGCCUCUCCCACGAGCAUGUAGUUGGCGAGUAUGAGACUUCUCAUAUCCAUCUAAUUGAGGUAAUCUCUACAGUAGAGUUCCCUAUAUACCGGGGUCGUCCACCCUUUCCUAAGGUACCCAGUAAAUUUCCACAUAUAUAGAUCCUCAUCAUCCCAACAACCACCAAUUGCAUACCAAC